rnacentral:rRNA from 1 species
UACGAGGGGGGCAAGCGCUGUUCGGAAUUAUUGGGCGUAAAGGGCGCGUAGGCGGUUUGACAAGUCUGAUGUGAAAUCUCUGGGCUCAACCCAGAGUCUGCAUUAGAAACUGUCGGGCUUGAGUAUGGGAGAGGUGAGUGGAAUUUCCGGUGUAGCGGUGAAAUGCGUAGAUAUCGGAAGGAACACCUGUGGCGAAAGCGGCUCACUGGACCAUAACUGACGCUGAGGCGCGAAAGCUAGGGGAGCAAACAGG